UACGGAGGGUGCGAGCGUUGUCCGGAAUCACUGGGCGUAAAGGGUGCGUAGGUGGUCGGGUAAGUCUGCUGUGAAAUCCCGCAGCUCAACUGCGGAACUGCAUUGGAAACUAUCCGACUAGAGGAAUGGAGGGGAGACUGGAAUUCUCGGUGUAGACAGUGAAAUGCGUAGAUAUCGAGAGGAACACCAGUGGCGAAGGCGAGUCUCUGGACAUUUCCAUGACGGCUGAGGCACGGAAAGACCCAGGGGAGCAAACGGGG
rnacentral:rRNA from 1 species